rnacentral:rRNA from 1 species
AACGCUGGCGGCAUGCUUUACACAUGCAAGUCGAACGGCAGCACGGGAGCAAUCCUGGUGGCGAGUGGCGAACGGGUGAGUAAUAUAUCGGAACGUGCCUUAUAGUGGGGGAUAACGCAGCGAAAGUUGCGGUAAUACCGCAUACGCCCUGAGGGGGAAAGCGGGGGAUCGAAAGACCUCGCGCUACUAGAGCGGCCGAUAUCUGAUUAGCUAGUUGGUGAGGUAAAGGCUCACCAAGGCUUCGAUCAGUAGCUGGUCUGAGAGGACGAUCAGCCACACUGGGACUGAGACACGGCCCAGACUCCUACGGGAGGCAGCAGUGGGGAAUUUUGGACAAUGGGGGCAACCCUGAUCCAGCAAUGCCGCGUGAGUGAAGAAGGCCUUCGGGUUGUAAAGCUCUUUUGUCAGGGAAGAAACAGCAGCUCUAACACAGCUGUGAAUGACGGUACCUGAAGAAUAAGCACCGGCUAACUACGUGCCAGCAGCCGCGGUAAUACGUAGGGUGCAAGCGUUAAUCGGAAUUACUGGGCGUAAAGCGUGCGCAGGCGGUUAUACAAGACAGGCGUGAAAUCCCCGGGCUUAACCUGGGAAUUGCGUCUGUGACUGUAUGGCUAGAGUGUGUCAGAGGGGGGUAGAAUUCCACGUGUAGCAGUGAAAUGCGUAGAUAUGUGGAGGAAUACCAAUGGCGAAGGCAGCCCC